UACGCCACCGCCGCCAUGUUCUCCGAUCUCGCAGCCCCUCUCGUCGUCGGUUUUCCGCGCUUGAUUCAUUUCGACACCGAUCGAAUCCAAAUCUCCGACUCUCCGGCGACCUCGAUUGCAUCUUCUUCGACCUGGACUCCCUGCACCCCUCCCCGUGACGUGGUCUCACCGCCCUCGGCCUCACUAUCAUCUGAUGCACGUCAUCUUGGAGUUGUAGAUAAAGUUAGGGUAGCAACCACUUUGAGGCUCAGAAGUACAUAGUAGGUGGUGAAUUGGAAGGAACUCCAAGGAAUUAUUAUAUGUGUGAUCACUGAGACAACCAUCAAACCAAAUAACUUCUGAAGUGGAUUCAGAUCAUGUGGGUAACUUCAGCAAAUGGCUAAUAGCCCCACUGCCUUAUGCUCAACAUAAACACUAUAAUGCAUUAUUGCUGCAUGGAAGAUGUAGAAUAUUGACAUGAUGUUGAAAGGUAUCAACAGCUAUCUUCUUAUGUCCCCAUUAUCCCUUUAUUACUUACUAAACCAAUUCAUAUUGUGUUGUCUAGGUGAUAUAAAUAAUAUUUAUGAGUGGACCCAUUCUAAGUUUAAAUAUAGAUGCACAAUCUAUAUUGAGCGAGUGUUAUGUAAAGUUACAAAAUAUUGAAUGUUUGUACUGUUCAUAUUUUGUAAACAUUUCAAUGUUCUUUUCUCAACAUGG